GUAUUUAAUACACAGGGGAGAUAGAAUACAAUCCACAGAUCUCUGCCUGAGUCACCUGCACCAUGUCGUGGUCUGUCCUCUUCAUCACUUCUCUAUUAUUCUGCACAAAUUGUGCUGCUCAGGUGAGUGUGACCCAGCCAGCCGCUCAAUCCGUCUCUCCUGGGAACACGAUGACAUUACCUUGUACAGUUACUGGGUUCAGUAUAGGUGAUCGCUGGGUGUACUGGUAUCAGCAGAAAACAGGGGACAGACCCCGGUAUCUGUUAUGGUAUUACAGUGACAGCAGCAAACACCAAGGAGCCGGGGUCCCUGAUCGGUUCUCUGGAUCCAAAGACACCCCAAAGAACACAGGAUAUUUAACCAUUAAGUCAGUGAUGUUAGAAGAUGAAGCCGAUUAUUAUUGUGGUAUGUGGCAACCAGAUGGCAAAGGGUUGCACACUGAUACAUUCUAAGGAGGAAGUUAUACACAUUACCUCACAGGACUGGGUCAUUUUCCAAAAGCAGAUAAUAUUUUAGAAACUCUAUUGUAUACUUUUUUGUUUUUUUGUAUUGUGUUUAUUAGUUAUUUUGCCAUAUUUAAGUUUGGAGCAGUAGUAAAGUAAGAUCUUAAGAUAUGAAUAGGUAUUUAAAGAUAAUUCCAUGGUAUUUUGAAGUAGAACAUUUGUACAUA